CUUAUACAUCCUCCGUCCGAAAAAGCUUGUCCCUCAAAUGAAUGUAUCUAGCACCUAAAUUAGUGCUAGAUACAUCCAUUUGAGGAACAAGCUUGGGACAAACUUUUUUCGGACAGAGGGAGUAUUAU
rfam:Hordeum vulgare subsp. vulgare, WGS project CAJW01000000 data, contig: morex_contig_1598332